AGCUUACACGUAUAAGUACUAAUUACUAAUCUUCAUUCUUGAUUCAACAUGAAAGACCUCAAGCAAGCAUUUUAGUCUAUUUCUAUACCAGAGUCGCCACUGACCUACCACCACCCAACACAACGCCUUAUCACGGCUUCCCCUGUGCACCGAGCUUACCACUAGUCGGCACUUAGGUCAGCUGCUGCCAGGCAUGGUUCAGUCAAAGCCACUCGCCAACAGCCACUUGGUCUUUUGUACACUCAGACAUAGACAGAAUGGAAGCGCAGCUGCUCUUUCUCUCCCAUUAUAUAUAUAUUUUGCUCUUGAGGACUGAGAGUUAAAUGAAUGAAGUCAAUGGUAGCUGAAAGCGUAAAGAUCAGAAAAGAUUCCACCUGUGUGGGGUGACUUUUAAGUCAAAAGAAAAUUUCGGUUUAUCAGAUUUACAAACGGAACUCCAUCGGAUUUUCUGCAGAAAUUUGUAUGUUUUAAAUCAUUUCAAAUAAUUCUUAUAAUGUGAUUUAUUUACAUCUUUCAAAGUUUGUACAUUCUGAUAUUUAAAUUCUUAAUAGAUGUCUAGUGGAUGAUAUAAUCAGUUGAGUAAUUGAUUAUAUCAUCAACGUAAUAGCCCGAUAUAAAUGUUAAGCUUCCGCACUAGUUUAAAUUAAUCUUGUUUAAAUCAGUUGGUUAGUUUCGGGUUGUUACACCAAUGCUAUGGGUAUCUCGGUCUCAAAGGCAAAUUCUUGCCUAUGUAUUGGGUGGACAUUAAUGUCUCACAUUGUGAAUCGGGUAUUGUGAAUCGGGUCGAGGUUUCUUACAACAGGCAAUUCAACUUGUUCGAACCCCUAAAUUUGACUCGACAAAAUUUGAUCCUCUACGGGAGGAUUUGACUCGUAUUGAAGGUUUGUGGGUAUCUAAACCGCUUUAAUUACGACUUCGAACUGCUUCUUGCAGUUUGUAUCUGAGGUUAGCCAUAUAUCCGACUAUGCCUACCCUUUUGGUUUGUCCCUCAAAAUUUGGGUUCAAAGUCUCUGCUUGGAUGUGCUAGGGCCUCUCUAUGAUGAAGACCCGCAUUGUUGGCUCGGGUUGUGGUGUUUCCGGUAUGAUAUGUUCAAGUCCAUUCCGAAAACCUAACCUCGACUCAACCAAAUUCAAAGAUCCUGAAAACGAUCGCCAAAUACUUACGAUGUUAAGAACAAACAACAAUGAGCAAAAUUAAGUUUGACAAAGUAACAAACAAGGACACAAAGAUUUAAGGAGGUUCACCCAAUGAUGGCUACGUCCUCCGUGGUGUGUAGUUUAUGUUUAUAUUAUAUCAAAUGAAUACAAACAACACUUCAAUAUGAAGAAUUACAAUUGAGAUAGAGAUAACAACAAUAGGCUAUGUGUUUGGCUUAAGGGUUGUGUUUGAUGUGUUUUGCAUACUUGAAGUGUGGGUAUGAGAGCCCUAUUUAUAGUGCUAGGUACUUGAAGAUGAAUGGCUCACAUAAAUACAUAGUUAAUUUAGGGUAAUGAAUACUAUGAAAUAACUCUAAGAACUUGAAAAGGCAUUAUCUCAAGAGUCACACACAUGAGACUCUUCACCUUAAUCUUCAUUAACACCAAUAAUUCCCAUGAAUACUCUUCACCUUAUUACACCCUUUUGGAUUCCACAACUCAAGAGUCACACACAUGAAUUCAACCCUUUAAUGUGCACUCAAGUCACACAUUAGUAUAGUAUCAUUUAUAAUCACAUUAGUAUACUACCAUUCAUAACAGAUCCAUCAGUGGAUAUGGAUUGAUUUGCAGGUUUGUAAGUAUCUAGAUUCCUAAAUACUGGUAGUAAUUGGGUACUGAAUAUGCUUGAACUGCAAUUUUGCGGUUUUGUAUUUGAGGAUAACAAACUGAUUGUUAUUCCUGUUUUCUCCCUAGCUUGAGAUUUACGGAAAAGUUUGGUGGUCCAUCUUUGAUUGGAUCAUUGAGAGUCUGUAUCUGUAAAAUCCUCUUUCAAUUUCAUGAACCCAACUCGAAUAUGUUGUGGUAUAGUUUUGGGUUGGUAAUGUUCCAGGUUUGGCAUUUGAGGUGCACUAAUGGCUGCCUGCUUGUGCCCGUGUUGUAUUUGAGCUUCGUCAAGCAACUACGUUUUGAAGAUACAAAAAUUCCUGUUGAUGGGUAUAUGAAGCUGCUAUGCCUCGGCUGGUGUUUGAUCUCCAGAAC